UCACUUACCUGGACGGGGCGAUCAAGAAGGUCCAUGGCCUAGGUUGGUGAUCUCCAUUGCACUUUGGAGGGGUGCCUGUCUAAGGUCGGCCCAAGUGGUCGAGCCUACGUCAUAAUUUGUGGCAGUUUCGCGCGGCC
rnacentral:snRNA from 1 species